GUUUUUCUUCCCCACACCUCCCAAAUUGUAACCCGAGAUGUCGAAUCAAGUCAGCCAACAUAAACAAGAGAUCAGAAGGAGCUCCACCAGUGACCGAAAAGGUCUCAACAUCUUUUUUACAUCGUGGUGACCAAAACUGGAUGCCAUAUUCCAAGUGUGCCCUUACCAAGGCAUUAUAAAAUUAAAACUGCAGCAGCCUGAAAAAUGACACAAAGAGACUGAAGCACAAGGGAGGAGAAAGUUUCAGUGUGUAGCAAAGCAAUGGAAAAAAUGCUCAGCUGUAUC